CCUACGGGAGGCUGCAGUGGGGAAUAUUGGACAAUGGGGGGAACCCUGAUCCAGCCAUGCCGCGUGUGUGAAGAAGGCCCUCGGGUUGUAAAGUACUUUCAGUGAGGAAGAACGCCUGGUGGUUAAUACCCAUCAGGAAAGACAUCACUCACAGAAGAAGCACCGGCUAACUCCGUGCCAGCAGCCGCGGUAAUACGGAGGGUGCGAGCGUUAAUCGGAAUUACUGGGCGUAAAGCGCGCGUAGGUGGCUUGAUAAGCCGGUUGUGAAAGCCCCGGGCUCAACCUGGGAACGGCAUCCGGAACUGUCAAGCUAGAGUGCAGGAGAGGAAGGUAGAAUUCCCGGUGUAGCGGUGAAAUGCGUAGAGAUCGGGAGGAAUACCAGUGGCGAAGGCGGCCUUCUGGACUGACACUGACACUGAGGUGCGAAAGCGUGGGUAGCAAACAGGAUUAGAUACCCUAGUAGUC
rnacentral:rRNA from 1 species